rnacentral:rRNA from 1 species
GUGAGGAAUAUUGGUCAAUGGGCGGGAGCCUGAACCAGCCAAGUCGCGUGAAGGAAGAAGGAUCUAUGGUUCGUAAACUUCUUUUGCAGGGGAAUAAAGUGCAGGACGUGUCCUGUUUUGUAUGUACCCUGAGAAUAAGGAUCGGCUAACUCCGUGCCAGCAGCCGCGGUAAUACGGAGGAUCCGAGCGUUAUCCGGAUUUAUUGGGUUUAAAGGGUGCGUAGGUGGUUUGAUAAGUCAGCGGUGAAAGUUUGCAGCUUAACUGUAAAAAUGCCGUGGAAACUGUAGGACUUGAGUGUAAAUGAGGUAGGCGGAAUGCGUGGUGUAGCGGUGAAAUGCAUAGAUAUCACGCAGAACUCCGAUUGCGAAGGCAGCUUACUAAGCUACAACUGACACUGAAGCACGAAAGCGUGGGGAUCAAACAGGAUUAGAAACCCUAGUAGUCC